AUUGAACGCUGGCGGCAGGCUUAACACAUGCAAGUCGAACGGUAGCAGGAGAAAGCUUGCUUUCUUGCUGACGAGUGGCGGUCGGGUGAGUAAUGCUUGGGAAUCUGGCUUAUGGAGGGGGAUAACUACGGGAAACUGUAGCUAAUACCGCGUAGUAUCGGAAGAUGAAAGUGCGGGACCGUAAGGCCGCAUGCCAUGAG
rnacentral:rRNA from 1 species